rfam:Termitomyces sp. J132 unplaced genomic scaffold scaffold101, whole genome shotgun sequence.
GCCCCUGUUGUCUAAUGGUUAUGACGUCAGACUUCUAUAAUAUUCUCAUCUGGAGGUUGCGGGUUCGAGUCCCGCCAGGGGUU